CAGAAUCGGUACCUGAAGACAAGAAAAUAAAAAAGCCUACCAAGAAGAAGACCACAGAUGCAGUUCGACUUGUCGUACUCCGUGAUACCAUCGAGGACCGGCAAACGGUCGUUGAUCAGAUUCAGGAACUACAUAUUCGCCCAAAUCAAUAAGGACAUAAGGUACUGGUACUGCAGCGAGAAGCUCCGAUUGAAAUGCCAAGCGAAAUUGAGACUAAGCAAAGAAGGCGGUGAAAUUAUAUCAUAUUAUAAUACUCAUAAUCAUAAACCGCCACAGUAUUUUAUGUAAAAAAAAAUGGAGUAUUAUUUCAAAAUUACUGAUAAAAAUUUGUAUUUUUGAUUUAUCAAAUCAUUCUCAAUCUUUUCUCUCAAUAUAAAUUUGUUAUUUAGUUUUGUGCUUUAUAAUUACAAAAAAUUUAGCCGUGAUAAUAAAAGCCCUAUUUUUGGCUCAGCAUUAAUGUGAUAGUAAUAUCCAUAUUAUCUAUAGUCUAAAUAUGAACUAUAAUUAGGAAUAAAAACAUGAUUUCAAUUUACUUUAUAAGUAUCCUUCAUCGAAAGUACCUAAGUACAUGGAAAAUUAUAAUGUGAAAAUCCAAUAGUGAUCGUUAGUAUUAAUUUUUAGAAGCGACAGUAUUAUGUUUGUUUUUAAAGAAUUUGUAAUGAUUAUGUUUAAGAUGGCUGUAUUGCUUUUAUAAAAUAAAUUAAUGAUAAAUUAAAACA